rnacentral:rRNA from 1 species
GACGAACGCUGGCGGCGUGCUUAACACAUGCAAGUCGAACGGAAAGGCCCUGCUUUUGUGGGGUGCUCGAGUGGCGAACGGGUGAGUAACACGUGUGUAACCUGCCCUUGACUUUGGGAUAACUUCAGGAAACUGGGGUUACUAACGGAUAGGAGCUCCUGCUGCAUGGUGGGGGUUGGAAAGUUUCGGCGGUUGGGGUUGGAUUCGCGGGUUAUCAGUUUGUUGGUGGGGUAGUGGCUUACCCAGGCAUUGAUGGGUCGCCGGCCUGACAGGGGGACCGGCCUCAGUGGGACUGAGGUACGGCCCAGAGUCCGACGUGAGGCAGCAGUGGGGAAUAUUGCACAAUGGGCGGGAGUCUGAUGCAGCAACGCCGCGGGCGGGAUGACGGCCUUCGGGUUAUAAACCGCUUUCGCCUGUGACGAAGCGUGAGUGACGGUAAUGGGUAAAGAAGCACCGGCUAACUACGUG